CUUAUUCCUUCUAGGCCAGGUUGAAAGGUUUUUAAAAGCAGGUGGGGGUGCCAGGAUAGUGAGAAAAACAAGAAAAGACACUGCUUUUUACCCCAUGCGGGGCAGAGCUGGUCUCCUUUCUGCAGGUGUUGAGGGGAGUUGAGUAGGAGCCCAGAGCUGGUACAGGCCCCGUUUAACGUGCCCCCGCAGAGUGAGGGCUGGGGGUCACCCCAUAGGCAGGGGAGCCCUUCUGGGAGGGAAUUCCUGCUUAGGUGGGAGGUUGACCUGAAUGACAUCUAGGUCCUCUACCUCCCAGAUGCCGAAUUUUCAGGGAAGGAACCAAAUGGAUGUAUGGCCCAUGCCUGGGUUUGAAUCCCAGUUCUGGCCUUCAUUCCUCCAGGCCUCCAUUUCCUUGUCUGCACUAUGGGGCCAUGGUGAGAACUCUGAAAUAACACCAACUGCCUGGUGCUUGGUCCUGCACCCAGGCUGGUAUGAAAAAGGUGCCGAGAAGGUCCCAUGCAUCACCAGCCUGGAGGUAGCAGCAGAAGGGAAACC
rnacentral:lncRNA from 1 species